CCUACGGGAGGCUGCAGUGGGGAAUAUUGGACAAUGGGCGAAAGCCUGAUCCAGCCAUGCCGCGUGUGUGAAGAAGGCCUUCGGGUUGUAAAGCACUUUCAGUGGGGAAGAAAGCCUUGGGGCUAAUACCCUCGAGGAAGGACAUCACCCACAGAAGAAGCACCGGCUAACUCCGUGCCAGCAGCCGCGGUAAUACGGAGGGGUGCGAGCGUUAAUCGGAAUUACUGGGCGUAAAGCGCGCGUAGGCGGUCUGAUAAGCCGGUUGUGAAAGCCCCGGGCUCAACCUGGGAACGGCAUCCGGAACUGUCAGGCUAGAGUGCAGGAGAGGAAGGUAGAAUUCCCGGUGUAGCGGUGAAAUGCGUAGAGAUCGGGAGGAAUACCAGUGGCGAAGGCGGCCUUCUGGACUGACACUGACGCUGAGGUGCGAAAGCGUGGGUAGCAAACAGGAUUAGAUACCCCAGUAGUC
rnacentral:rRNA from 1 species